GCACCCGUAUUUCAACGGAUAGAAUGCGGGCCUCCGAAGCCCGAGAUCCAAGUUCGAUUCUUGGCGGGUGCACCA
rnacentral:tRNA from 1 species